rnacentral:lncRNA from 1 species
UGGUGGUGAUGAUGAUGAUGACGAUAAUAAUAAUAGUAAUGAUGAUAACAAUAACUCCAAUAACAAACCAGUAGACGUAAAAAGAAAACGUAGACGUAUCUUUUGUAUUGAUGGUUUAAAAGAAAGAGAGCGCAGUUUGAAACUUAUUAUGGAAAAAUUUCCAUAUGCAGAUAUCAUGAAGCUCUUGAACAAAUUGAAACUAUGAGUGAUUUUUCUUCAAAAAAAAAUUCUCUCAGUAAACUACGUCAAUUUCGGUUACAAAAGAAAAUACCUGCAGUUUCUCAAUGUAACAUUAUUAUUUCCAAUUCUCAAAUAAAAACAAUUGCAGAAGAAUGUCAGUCUCUCUCUGCAGGGAAAGACCAAGGUAUAUAUCUUGUGCCAGAUUAUCCAGAAACUGAAAUAAAAGAGUCUAUAAAAGAAAAUUUCGAAGCUAAUAAUGAAAAAAAUGACUAUUUGACUGAAGGUCCACA